GCAGUCGAGCGGACAGAAGGGAGCUUGCUCCCGGAUGUUAGCGGCGGACGGGUGAGUAACACGUGGGUAACCUGCCUGUAAGACUGGGAUAACUCCGGGAAACCGGAGCUAAUACCGGAUAGUUCCUUGAACCGCAUGGUUCAAGGAUGAAAGACGGUUUCGGCUGUCACUUACAGAUGGACCCGCGGCGCAUUAGCUAGUUGGUGGGGUAAUGGCUCACCAAGGCGACGAUGCGUAGCCGACCUGAGAGGGUGAUCGGCCACACUGGGACUGAGACACGGCCCAGACUCCUACGGGAGGCAGCAGUAGGGAAUCUUCCGCAAUGGACGAAAGUCUGACGGAGCAACGCCGCGUGAGUGAUGAAGGUUUUCGGAUCGUAAAGCUCUGUUGUUAGGGAAGAACAAGUGCGAGAGUAACUGCUCGCACCUUGACGGUACCUAACCAGAAAGCCACGGCUAACUACGUGCCAGCAGCCGCGGUAAUACGUAGGUGGCAAGCGUUGUCCGGAAUUAUUGGGCGUAAAGGGCUCGCAGGCGGUUUCUUAAGUCUGAUGUGAAAGCCCCCGGCUCAACCGGGGAGGGUCAUUGGAAACUGGGAAACUUGAGUGCANNANNGGAGAGUGGAAUUCCA
rnacentral:rRNA from 1 species